rnacentral:tRNA from 1 species
GUGAGCGUAGCCCAGGGGACUAAGGCGUCAGGUUGUGGCCCUGAAGAUCGAGGGUUCGAAUCCCUCCGCUCACCCCA